GAUGAACGCUGGCGGCGUGCCUAAUACAUGCAAGUCGAGCGAACAGACGAGGAGCUUGCUCCUCUGACGUUAGCGGCGGACGGGUGAGUAACACGUGGAUAACCUACCUAUAAGACUGGGAUAACUUCGGGACACCGGAGCUAAUACCGGAUAAUAUAUUGAACCGCAUGGUUCAAUAGUGAAAGACGGUUUUGCUGUCACUUAUAGCUGGAUCCGCGCCGCAUUAGCUAGUUGGUAAGGUAACGGCUUACCAAGGCGACGAUGCGUAGCCGACCUGAGAGGGUGAUAGGCCACACUGGAACUGAGACACGGUCCAGACGCCUACGGGAGGCAGCAGUAGGGAAUCGUCCGCAAUGGGCGAAAGCCUGACGGAGCAACGCCGCGUGAGUGAUGAAGGUCUUCGGAUCGUAAAACUCUGUUAUUAGGGAAGAACAAAUGUGUAAGUAACUAUGCACGUCUUGACGGUACCUAAUCAGAAAGCCACGGCUAACUACGUG
rnacentral:rRNA from 1 species